UACGUAGGGCGCAAGCGUUAUCCGGAAUUAUUGGGCGUAAAGAGCUCGUAGGCGGUUUGUCGCGUCUGCCGUGAAAGUCCGGGGUUCAACUCCGGAUCUGCGGUGGGUACGGGCAGACUAGAGUGAUGUAGGGGAGACUGGAAUUCCUGGUGUAGCGGUGAAAUGCGCAGAUAUCAGGAGGAACACCGGUGGCGAAGGCGGGUCUCUGGGCCGUAACUGACGCUGAGGAGCGAAAGCAUGGGGAGCGAACAGG
rnacentral:rRNA from 1 species